rnacentral:lncRNA from 1 species
AGCGCCACUUCUGAAAGAAAGGCUCACGACAACUGGGUAAGUUUUUUUUUUUUCUUUCCUUGCUUUUGGACAUAAUCUGCCAGGUCAGGACGUGGAUGUAUUUUUCUCCCCCACAGCUCUGUGUUUAAGCCUCGCAGAGGGAGAUGCAAGAGAAGAAGGCUGCCUACAAGCAGCACAGGUAGGUAAUUGUGAUGGACAUUUCUAAGGAUGUCUUUGUUUUAAGACAAAGCUUUGAGUAUCUAGUAAAGAACUUGGUGUUUUAAUUCUUAUUUAAGUUCAUUCUUUCUCUAUCUCCAAGAUAGGAAAUGAUUGAAAAACAGAGAGUGCUGGAGAGACACAUUAGUCAGGAGCCAGCUAGUGGACAACCAGGCAUAGAGAAUCAUCCCCAAAGAGGACCCAGAGUGCCUGCAUUUGCAGACAGACACAGUGGCAUGUGGUGACAGCAGGUUAUCCUCAUGGCUUCCCUUCACACCCCAGCUGUCCUCAGGAUUCAGUAGAAGGGAGAUUUUUUGGCACUGACACUGCUAUUUUGAAAUCUGGAGGAAAGAAAGGUGCCAGGGACUGUCACCUGCUGCAUGGGGUUGGUGUUGGUGUUGGUGUUUUUGUCCAUCAUAUUAAUGCAUUUUGAAACUUUUCUUCCUUCUGCUCUGCAGGUCAAUAUGGCUUUGGGAGGGCCCCUUUUUCAGGAUUGCCCUACUUGCUCUACUGCAUGGCUGGCUCUUCAGGACCAUUUGUGGGCUGCCAGACACCUCCUCUGCCUGGGUGGCCUCUGGGAACACGACCACUGCCUCCAUGCACACCACUUGGACAAGCUGAAAUUUGAAGAGGCCCCUGAGCUCUGACAGCCAUGCUGUGGCUCCUACAUAACUUGGAAAAGUAUCCAAUACAUUUUACGCUGCCUGCCCAGUGCUGCCUCAUCUGUCUCUAAUCUUCUGUAGUGUUUCCCCUAAUAAAGGUUUGCAGUCCUAUCUGUUUGGGCGUCUGUUUUCUGGAGGACCAGAUGACCCCCCGGUGUACCAGGUAUGAUUCCUCAUACACUGUUCAAACCCAGGCAGAUAUUGCAGUGCUGGCUGCAGAAGCAGGGUUGCCCUUUGGGUAGUGUCGACUGGGAGGGCCCCAAGGGGGCUUUCUGGGGUGGGGAAAUAUCCCGUAUCAAGCCAUGAGUGGAGAUUGUGCUCAUUCAUUUUAGAAAUAGUCAUCGGGCACCUGAUGCCUGCCAGUCACAGGGGUUCCUUGUGAUAAGAUGGACAGGAAUGUAUCCCCAU